rnacentral:lncRNA from 1 species
GAGUAGAGUUAGCUGUUGAUCAGAAGGAUGGAUAAAACUGCAGAGGCAAAAGGAAGUGUUGCUUUUUUUUUUUUUCUUUCCGAACUCAGUAGCUAUGGCUAUUGGGGAUUUUGUUGUUGUUGUUGUUUUCUGAUUACUUAUUUAAAUGUAUGCAUAUCUGCACAUGCAUGCAUGUGCCUGAGGAGGCCUGGAACUUCAGCUCAUAGAUGGUUACAGGAUGUUGAGAGCCUCCUAAUUUAAGUGCUGACACUGACCUGUAGUCCUUUGGAAAAGCAUGCAGCCCCUGUAGGCUUUCUUAAUGUGUUUUCUACAUUAUUUAAAUUUUCCCCAUUGUAACUGUUAGUUUUCUGCUAUUUCUAUAAUAAAAGAUGACAAGUUGAGUGUUUGUAACAACAGAAAAUUAUUGUUCUCUGGUUCUGGAAGCCAGAAACCUAAAUUCUAAUGGUUUGCAGGGCUAUUACCUCCUCUAAAAACACGUGAGGCCAAUCUUCUGGUUAUCUAGCAAGCAGUGAACACUAGUGUUUGCUAGUGCUUAGAACUCCUUGGCUUGGAAAUGUAUCCCUUCAGUUUCUGCCUUUGCUGUCACAUGAGUUGCUUCUCCCUGUCGUCUAGGGUAAGGACUCUGCUGCUUCCACAUGCCCAUUGAAAAAUAGAGCCCGUGUCUCUAGCUGCAUAUGUAGCAGAAGAUGGCCUAGUUGGCCAUUAUUGGGAGGAGAGGCCCUGGGUGUUGUGGAGAUUCUAUGCCCCAAUACAGAGGAAUGCCAGGGCCAGGAAGCAGGAGUGGGUGGGUUGGGGAGCAGGGCAGGGGGAGGGUAGAGAGGAGUUUUGGGAUAGAAUUUGAAAUGUAAAUGAAGAAAAUAUCUAAUAAAAACAAAAAUAAAAUAAAAGCACACCCCUCUACG